AUUGAACGCUGGCGGCAGGCCUAACACAUGCAAGUCGAGCGGAUGAAGGGAGCUUGCUCCUGGAUUCAGCGGCGGACGGGUGAGUAAUGCCUAGGAAUCUGCCUGGUAGUGGGGGAUAACGUCCGGAAACGGGCGCUAAUACCGCAUACGUCCUGAGGGAGAAAGUGGGGGAGCUUCGGACCUCACGCUAUCAGAUGAGCCUAGGUCGGAUUAGCUAGUUGGUGGGGUAAAGGCCUACCAAGGCGACGAUCCGUAACUGGUCUGAGAGGAUGAGCAGUCACACUGGAACUGAGGCACGGUCCAGACUCCUACGGGAGGCAGCAGUGGGGAAUAUUGGGCAAUGGGCGAAAGCCUGAUCCAGCCAUGCCGCGUGUGUGAAGAAGGUCUUCGGAUUGUAAAGCACUUUAAGUUGGGAGGAAGGGCAGUAAGUUAAUACCUUGCUGUUUUGACGGUACCAACAGAAUAAGCACCGGCUAACUUCGUG
rnacentral:rRNA from 1 species